rnacentral:rRNA from 1 species
UACGAAGGGGGCUAGCGUUGCUCGGAAUCACUGGGCGUAAAGGGUGCGUAGGCGGGUCUUUAAGUCAGGGGUGAAAUCCUGGAGCUCAACUCCAGAACUGCCUUUGAUACUGAUGGACUUGAGUGCGUGAGGGGUAGGGGGGAACGAGCAGUGUAGCGGUGAAAUGCGUAGAUAUUGCUCGGAAGGCCAGAGCCGAAGGGGCCCUACUGGUACGUAACUGACACUGAGGCACGAAAGCGUGGGGAGCAAACAGG